AUUGAACGCUGGCGGCAUGCCUUGCACAUGCAAGUCGAACGGUAACAGGUUAAGCUGACGAGUGGCGAACGGGUGAGUAAUGUAUCGGAACGUGCCCAGUCGUGGGGGAUAACGUAGCGAAAGCUACGCUAAUACCGCAUACGAUCUACGGAUGAAAGCGGGGGAUCGCAAGACCUCGCGCGAUUGGAGCGGCCGAUAUCAGAUUAGGUUGUUGGUGGGGUAAAAGCUCACCAAGCCUGCGAUCUGUAGCUGGUCUGAGAGGACGACUAGCCACACUGGAACUGAGACACGGUCCAGACUCCUACGGGAGGCAGCAGUGGGGAAUUUUGGACAAUGGACGCAAGUCUGAUCCAGCAAUGCCGCGUGCAGGACGAAGGCCUUCGGGUUGUAAACUGCUUUUGUACGGAACGAAACGGUGAGCUCUAAUACAGUUUGCUAAUGACGGUACCGUAAGAAUAAGCACCGGCUAACUACGUGCCAGCAGCCGCCGUAA
rnacentral:rRNA from 1 species